rnacentral:rRNA from 1 species
GUAAGGAAUAUUGGACAAUGGGCGAGAGCCUGAUCCAGCCAUGCCGCGUGCAGGAAGACGGACCUAUGGUUUGUAAACUGCUUUUGAACGAGAGAAAACCCGGGUACGUGUACCCGGCUGAUAGUAUCGUUAGAAUAAGCAUCGGCUAACUUCGUGCCAGCAGCCGCGGUAAGACGAAGGAUGCAAGCGUUAUCCGGAUUCAUUGGGUUUAAAGGGAGCGUAGGCGGACUUGUAAGUCAGUGGUGAAAUCUGUGGGCUUAACCCACAAACUGCCAUUGAUACUGCAGGUCUAGAGUACAGUUGCCGUUGGCGGAAUAUGACAUGUAGUGGUGAAAUACUUAGAUAUGUCAUAGAACACCGAUUGCGAAGGCAGCUAACGAAGCUGUAACUGACGCUGAGGCUCGAAAGUGCGGGGAUCAAACAGGAUUAGAAACCCGAGUAGUCC